GCGGACGGGUGAGUAACACAUGGGGAUCGACCCAGUCGUGAGGAAUACCACCGAGAAAUCGGUGACAAUACCGCAUACGUCCGGGGAACCGAGCAAAGCUCUUCGCAAGAGGGGCGCGAGUGGACGAGCCUGUGCCUGAUUAGUUAGUUGGUGGGGUAAGAGCCUACCAAGACUGCGAUCAGUCGCUGGUCUGAGAGGAUGAUCAGCCACACUGGGAUUGAGAACGGCCCAGACUCCUACGGGGGGCAGCAGUGAGGAAUAUUCGGCAAUGGGGGCAACCCUGACCGAGCAACGCCGCGUGCAGGAAGACGGCCUUCGGGUUGUAAACUGCUUUUCUGGGGGAAGAGAACGGACGGUACCCCAGGAAGAAGCUCCGGCUAACUACGUGCCAGCAGCCGCGGUAAUACGUAGGGAGCGAGCGUUGUCCGGAGUUACUGGGCGUAAAGCGCACGCAGGCGGUCUGUCGCGUUCGUGCCGACAGCGACUCGCCUAACGAGUCGAGGAGUACGGAAACGGGCAGACUUGAGGGCCACAGAGGGACACGGAACUCCGGGUGGAGUGGUGAAAUGCGUAGAGAUCCGGAAGAACACCAAAGGCGAAGGCAGUGUCCUGGGUGGUACCUGACGCUCAGAGGCGACAGCUAGGGGAGCGAACGGGAUUAGAUACCCCGGUAGUCCUAGCCGUAAACGAUGACCACGAGAUGUCCGGGGGAUCGACCCCCUGGGUGUCGAAGCAAACGCAAUCAGUGGUCCGCCUGGGGAGUACGGUCGCAAGAUUAAAACUCAAAGGAAUUGACGGGGACCCGCAC
rnacentral:rRNA from 1 species